GUGGCUGUGGCUCAGAGGUAGAGCACUUGCCUAGCACGUGUGGGGCCCUGGGUUCAAGCCUCAGCACCACA
rnacentral:tRNA from 1 species